rnacentral:rRNA from 1 species
AUUGAACGCUGGCGGCAGGCCUAACACAUGCAAGUCGAACGGUAACAGGAAGCAGCUUGCUGCUUUGCUGACGAGUGGCGGACGGGUGAGUAAUGUCUGGGAAACUGCCUGAUGGAGGGGGAUAACUACUGGAAACGGUAGCUAAUACCGCAUAACGUCGCAAGACCAAAGAGGGGGACCUUAGGGCCUCUUGCCAUCGGAUGUGCCCAGAUGGGAUUAGCUAGUAGGUGGGGUAACGGCUCACCUAGGCGACGAUCCCUAGCUGGUCUGAGAGGAUGACCAGCCACACUGGAACUGAGACACGGUCCAGAUUCCUACGGGAGGCAGCAGUGGGGAAUAUUGCACAAUGGGCGCAAGCCUGAUGCAGCCAUGCCGCGUGUAUGAAGAAGGCCUUCGGGUUGUAAAGUACUUUCAGCGGGGAGGAAGGGAGUAAAGUUAAUACCUUUGCUCAUUGACGUUACCCGCAGAAGAAGCACCGGCUAACUCCGUG